GGAUACCCGCUGAACUUAAGCAUA
rnacentral:rRNA from 69 species